AUGACAUUGGGGGAUGGAGCGAGGGCUAAGUUUUGGACCGACAAUUGGCUUCCGGACAGACGCUCAAUCGCGACCAUGGCGCCGGCCCUCUACUCUUUUGUCAGGGACAAGGGCAGAUCAGUCAGAGAGGCUCUCCACAACAGAUCUUGGAUCAGGGACAUCACUGGAGGGAUUUCCGUCGUUGCCAUAGCACAAUACCUUCAAGUCUGGGACUUGGUUCAGGAAACAGCCCUGGCUCCAGACUCCCAUGAUCACCUUGUAUGGAAGCUCACUUCAGAUGGCCAGUUCUCCGUCCAGAGUGCAUAUCAACUCUUCUUCAUGGGCAACACACGGUUUGCCUGCUCCAGACCAAUAUGGAAAUCCAAGGCACCUCCAAGAUGCAAGUUCUUUAUGUGGUUGGCGGUCCACCGGAAGUGUCUCACGGCGGACAAUCUUGAGCGAAGGGGUUGGCCAUCCAACGACAUUUGCCCCCUUUGUGCGCAGGAGCCGGAAAACUGCUCGCAUUUGUUUGUAAAUUGCAGAUUUACACAGCAGCUCUGGUGGAGCUUCAGAACUUGGACGGGGGCUAAUUUCUAG
rnacentral:rRNA from 1 species